rnacentral:lncRNA from 1 species
CUUGGGCUGUAUUUAUGCAUUUGAAAGCAAGGAUAGGGGCCAGGAGAGCUGGGUUUUUGUUGCACUGUGGGUGGAAAACCCCAGCCCUCUGGGGUUCGGUCACUGCAGGCCUUCCUCUAUUUUCUCCCCGUGACUUCCCUAGCCUUUCUCAUGUAUUUGCAUGAUACUUCUGCAUAAAUGACUGUUAAAGGGACUGCACCAACUCCAGCAGGCACAAUUAACCUCCCAGCGAGGGUUACAAUCUCCCGUGUUAUCCAGCCAGACGGCCUGAUCCACGGUGACUGCCCUCAAAGGCACUGUGUUGUACCAGUUCUGGAAAGUCUUUGCUCCGUGAAUCCUCCACAGCUUCAGCAUCCCAAUCAACAGCAAAGUCAAGACAGGACAAGAAAAAAGCAACGUAGGGAAGAAGCGAAGAAUUCAGCUUUAGACUUCACACGCACUGCUCUUCGCUUUGAAAACCAACAGAUGAAUCCCCCUUUGAGAUGGAGAGGGGGAAAAAAAAAUAAUGUUUGAGCUUUUGAAAACGUUCCCUGCGUUAUUUGCUGAAUUUGACUUCAAGCCGCAAAUAUUCCGCUCUCCAUAAAGGGCAUGCAUCUUCUUAAGCAGGUUUACCUUUCAGCUCUAACCACCGCUGGUCCCUGGUGCUUGCAGAUACGUUUCGCCGACAGGACCAGGCUUUUCAGGAACAGCCUUUAGCAGUGUCCUGGGGGCUCACAUCAAGAGGAGAAAUGACUAGGUUCUCUCUGUUCUACUUCUGAACACCUGCCCCUUCCUUUCAAUGCUUCCCCCUGCCUCAAAGAGUAGCUAAGCUGUAGGUUUUCAAUGAUUUUGUGUCUUUAUCCUAUUUAUGCAUUGCAGGACAUUAGAAACAACUGAGAACUGAAUCUUUCUCUCAAAGUCACAGCACACAGUGUAAGGCCCCCAGACAUUUCCCUGCAGUCAAAAAUCUCCUGAUAUUUCAUACAUUAAAUCGAUAUAUGGAAGCUGUUCUUUUGCUGUUACAUUUUUUCACAAGCUAUGUAUUUACCCUUGCUAGGGCUCCUCAAAAAAAUGUGUCAGGGCUUCUGGCUCAUGCCAGCAGCGUGUGGUUUCUUGAGAGUGAGUCAUUGCAUUUGCAAGGCUUGAGCUUGAACUGGAAGCUGGAUUUCUGCGCUGUUCCUGGGGACUUGCCUACAGCCAAAAACUACUCCGAGACCCACAGCAGCGCUGGAUGGGACCAGGAGCUUCACAUGGUGCGCCUCUCUCCCCAGACACCAGCUUUUGGGAAUCCUCCAGCCCCAGCACUGGGUCACAAGAAACUUCCCAAGCUGACAGCAACCUGUUUCAGCUGCAAAAUUUGGGAAACACCGGGCCAAAGUAAUGCUAACAACACAAUAAUAAUUCUGCUGGGUGAGACGAGCUCUGCCUCCCAUUCCCUGGCGUUUGCCAGCACCCCAUGGCCAUGGGCGCAGAAACACUUCUGGCAAACUCCUCAUCCUGAAGCAUUUUUGCAAGCAGCUUUCCAGAUGCCAUUAGUCAGGACUGUCAGGGAGGGAGGACAAAGAGGUCGUUAGUGCUGAUUCAAUGCCCCAGGGCACGGGGGAUUAUUGCUGCUCACCUGGCCGCUGGGUAUGGCUCCAGCGCAAACACCUGCGGGGUCAAUGGGCUCAUCACUCACCUGCCACCAAUAUCUGAAUGUAGUUGUGGAGAGUUGCUUUUUUAUAUAAGGUUUCCUCACUUAAAUAUCUGAUGGAAGCAAACACAAGCUAAGCUGAUAUAAAGAGUGGUUCCUUGGAGCAGAUAUUCUCAGGCUAUUCUCUCCAUAUUCCCUACUCAUCACAAACUGCCUUCGUUAAGGAUAUGCUUGUGCUGAAACAUCUCAAUUUUGUCCUAAUGGGUGAGUGCUGUCUCUUUUUUAUUUAAUUUAUUUAUUUAUUUUGCCUGAUAUACUUGCAAAGUGCCUGGUGUCCUGCAGACCUGACUCACCGCAGUGGCCUUUUGCUGCUCAUACAAAAAUUGGGGGCAAUUCACGCUGAAGAAGCUUUGGGAUGAAUGAAAGCAAGGCAAACAAGGCCUAGGCUUGAAUCAGCAGGUUGUUUUUCUUAGCCUAUUCUCAAGAGAUGGUCACCCUCACGCCACCCAAACCUUGAGAAAAGUACCUCGUGCUGUGCACAGAAACAUCUCUUUGCACUGCACUGUGCUCCAAAGCUUCAGUGCUCC